UCCGGUGGCAGGAGGACCAGUGGGUGAAAUAUCAGGGCGGAGCUUUCCAUGCUUGGCAGAUGGAUGCCUUGUGAACUUAAAGGCAAAGUAAUCAACUUAACAUAAAUCGCAAGAGGCAAUUUCACAGGGUCGGACGCCACCAUACGCUCUAGCAUGUAGUUGCUACACAUUUGUUGACGACAGUAGCCUACUAUAGCGUGACUGACAAUGCUGCUGAGGCUAUGCACACAAGCUCGGACGUACAGGACUAUGUUUGGAACGCUAAACAAACAUGGCCUUCUCUCCUUCAGAAGCUUGCUGUGUUGGUUGCUGCUGGAUGCGUUGUGUGCCCCUGUAGGGAGUGUCUCUGUACUGAGGAAAUUCUUCUCAGGAAGUGGCGUAUAGGUUGGUUACAUGUGCAGUCCACUCUUCAUACGCUCCCUCUACUGGUGUCCACUCUGUCACCCUCCCGGUCAGUAUUAAAUGGUUUUACCCUACAGAACAUGAGGGAGGGGGGAUUGAGAGAGUGUUUGUAUAGCCAACAAUUGGUUGAAUGUGAAAUUCUAAUCUAAUUUUAGACACCUUGACCUGUUUAUUUGACCUUCUUAAAUUGAAAUGUAUUUAUUUCAGUUAAACUGACUUCUCACAGCUGUUUUGAAAUACUAUUUUGCACUGUAUUCAUUUCUUGUUCCUCAUGCCAGUAUUUUAGACAACACUGAAAUGCUUAAUUUGUCCAAUGCAAAAGAAGCAUUUCCUGUUCAUAGUUUUGUAAGCCAAAAGGAUUAACAAGACAUGUUUGUCUGCUGAGAGUAGCAGAGAGAGGAAGACGGAAAGAAAGAGAGGGGAGGGGGGUCGAAAGCAGACACAGUUGUGUUUCAGACAUUUUUUUGUCCUAUAAAAAGUUGAGAAAAUUUGAGUUUUCCCUUUGCUAACAGAAAUAAAUGCUGAAUUUAAUUUAUUUAGCAUUGAAAUUAUAAAGCUACACGUGUGUUUAAAAACUCUGCAGUUUUGGAUAAAAAAAAAAAAAGUGAGACGUGGUCUUAGAGUUGGUGGAAUCAGGUCAAAGAAUUCCUGAACCAUGUUCGGGAAAUAUGGAACACCCGGAAUUCCAGGGGUGGGGCCAUAGCGAGCGAGAGAGCACUCCAUAAACAAGAACUCCGGCAAAUGUUAAUCGAACACACAUGCUCUCUCUCACGAAGAAGAGGGGAAGAAAAGGGAGGGAGCGGGUACUUUCCAAGUCUCCUAGAGAAAGUUUGCAAAGUUCUUGUUAAUAAUGUGCGCCUCGUUCUGUUCUGCAAAGAGUGCAAAACUCUGCGAUACUUGAAAUGCAUUUCAUUUAUGCUUUAUCCUUUUUAUCAACCACCCCUUUAGGCCUCUGACUGAUCCACAUCUAAAUAAAGCUUCAUUUAAGAGAGAAAAAAUUGGUGUUGUAAACAUAUUUGACAAACUGUGAACUGAAGCCCAGAACUCAUCGGAAAUAGACAGAGUUGUUUGCACAUUGUUGCCUCGGUAUAAAGUCACUAAUGCUCAUAAAGGUGAAGCACUGUUUUAAUCCUAAAUGACUGCUAAAAAUUAAAUGUCAUUCACCUUUUUCUUCAGAUUCAGUAUUGGAAACAAUUUGCUCAGAGCUUGUGACUGUAUAUAGUGCUCUAGUGUGGGUUGCCUGAAUCUAGGGCAGAGAGUAAGUACUCCACUGAAGUCAGCACUUAAUGUAGCACUAGUAAGCGCUCUUAUUCUCAUAUGAGGGCCGACAAUCAAAAUUGUGCUAUAUUAGAGCCCCUGUCUAUCUCUCUCUCUCUCUCUCUCUCUCUCUCUCUCUCUCUCUCUCUCUUUUUUAAAUAAAUGCCUGUAAAGCCUAUUUGAAUAUUUGAAACAUGAAAUGUUUCACCACAAAUAAUAAAGUCAGUAUGUUAUUUAUAUAAAAUAUAUGCCACAUAGCAUAGUUGACAUAUUUUAGAAGUAUUUCCUUACCUAUUAAAAAUGUUAAGGACACCUUUUUAAAAUUGUAUUUGUUAAUACUUACAGGGAUAAUUAAAACUGAGAUUAAAAUUCUAUCAUCAUUUACACGUCCUCAUCACUUACAUUUGGGUUUUAAAAAAGCAAGUGAAGUCACUCUGUUUUUUGCAACUUGUUUUUUGACCACUUGACCUUCAAUGUGUAGACAAAACGGUUAAAUAAAUGUUCAAACAUCUUCUGCAGAAGAAACUCAUGAGGUUGAGUAAAGGAGUAAAAGGUGAUAAUUAAAAUUUUUGCAUUAAAUAUUCCUAUAAGUGUCGUCCUUUGACUGAAAAUAUAGUUCUUGGCAUAAUGUUGCUAUGCAACAAAUUCAAGUCCAGUACAAUGAUUUGGCAAACUGUUUUUUUUUUUUUUUUUUUAUGUAAUGUUACUAUACUGUGAAUUUCAGCAUUAAAGCUGAUGAAAAAAUGUCUCAAUCAGUCAGAAGCAAUGUCCUUGACUAAUUGUUUUAUAUAAUUGUUCUGUACACGUUUCACCUUUUCCAAUAGCGGUUUCGAAAAUUAGGUCAGCAGAGUCCAUCCGUCUUCGAUAUUGUGAAGAAUUGAAAUUACUACUAUGAAGUUUUCCAGAGCCAUUUCAGGAGAAAGUUCUGAAAGGCUGCAUUCAGAAAUGUGUCAGAACAUUAGAAUGGAGCUCUGUGCAAGUGUGUACAUGUAAGUUUGUGUGUUUGCACCUUUUGUGUACAUGUAUGUGCUUGUGUUUGCGCUGUCUGUCUCCGUGCUGUGUGCAGCUCCUCCAGUCCUCCGCUCACAGGGUGUGGGUGAGCUGUUUGAACUCGGUGGUUAAGCUGGUAGACUGAGAUGAAUGCAAGAAGAGCUCAGUCUCCUCUUUGAAGUUUGACACGGGGGGUUACCCCUCCCACCAGGAGGGGCUUCAGCAGAGAAAGAGAGAAUGGGGGGGGGGGGGGGAGAAAAACUUUACUCUUGUUUUUUGUGAGAAACACUAGAGGUCCAGCUUGACUCUCAAAUUGUCAGAAGGCUUCUUCUUGUUUUAAUUAUCUACUCUGAGAACAGCUACGCUAUUACGCUAUGCUUUCACCUAGUAUCUUAGAAUAGGAAAACUUUCCCAAGACAGAUGUUGGAAAGCUGAGUUUUUUAAAUAUUGUAUUACAAACAGUUGUAAGUGUUCAAAGUUGUUGUCUGUCAAAUAAGACACAAGUAAUCUAGCGGGAAAGUCCCUUUUAAAGAAAUGAGUACAUUACUUGAAGACCUCCCGCUCUCGCUGUCUCUCACAAACACACACACAUAUGCAUGCUGUGUCGUGUCUGGGAGACACCUAAAAGAGAGGCCUGGCCAGGUGUGCAGCAGAGACUGAGGAUGAUACAGGUAUGAGCAAGUUCCUUGACAGAUCCAGCAACAGGCUCAAGGACUCUGCUCUGGCUUGUUAUCCCUCAUCUGUUUCUCCUUCUUCUUUACUGGGUUUUUAAACAUGCUGCUAUAUCUUUUAUAUUUUUACAUAUCUAAAAAAUCUUUAAAAUAACAAUAUACCAUUCCACGCCAGUAGAAAAAAAACAAAUUUGUAAUUGUUAGUGUUUUCCCCAACCAUAUCAUUUAUAGGUAUUUUUGUUUUAGGACCUAUUUUUUAUAAGAAGACAGUGGGGAAAGGACCGGAAAUAUUUCAAGCCAAAUUCGAACUUGUGUUGUCCAUAUGAUCACCACAGUGUCUGCUGCUUUUUGGAUAAAAGCACUUACAUUAGCACAUUGGACCUUUGCUCAGAAAGAUCCAACUCUGUUUUGGGUUGCAGUACCUGACCAACAACUACCAUCAUUGUUUCUGAAGCUCUGCCACACCCUCACGUUGCCCGGGGCUCUAUGGGUCACCCUAUCCCACUGUCCUCAUCGAAGACAAUGACUUCCUCAGAAUCCCCCAUUGUAAGACACAUGGUAUAGGUCUCAGUUUUCUUGUUAGAUUUGGGAGGCGUGGCCUUUGAGGAUGUUUUUGCCAAGAGGCAGCAUCAGCACAUCUAAAAAAAAAUGACUAACAGCCGUUGUCAUAUGUGUGUGUACAAAUGUCAGAGUUUGUCUGUUCAAAGAUGCCUUCAAAUAGCCACUUACUGAGCAUUUACCUUCUAAAGUGUGAGACUGUCUGAAGCCAAGCAAGUCACAGUCAUCUCUUUGUGUGCUAUAAGGGUCUUAAUAAAUGAAGUAAAACAA